rnacentral:rRNA from 1 species
UGAACAUCGACAUUUCGAACGCACAUUGCGGUCCAUGGAUUAUAUUCCCGGACCACGCCUGGCUGAGGGUC